rnacentral:rRNA from 1 species
AGCAGCCGCGGUAAUUCCAGCUCCAAUAGCGUAUAUUAAAGUUGUUGCAGUUAAAAAGCUCGUAGUUGAAUUUCGGGAUCAAUAUGUUGGUCGUGUCUUGGUACGUACUGGCAUUAUCGAUUCCUACCUUCUGAAGAACCUCGAUGUCAUUAAUUUGGUGUCUUGGGGAAUCAGGACUGUUACUUUGAAAAAUUAGAGUGUUUAAAGCAAGCUAACGCUUGAAUACAUUAGCAUGGAAUAAUGAAAUAGGACGUUCGAUCCUAUUUUGUUGGUUUCUAGGAUUGACGUAAUGAUUAAUAGGGAUAGUUGGGGGCAUUAGUAUUCAAUUGUCAGAGGUGAAAUUCUUGGAUUUAUUGAAGACUAACUACCGCGAAAGCAUUUGCCAAGGAUGUUUUCAUUAAUACAAGAACGAAAGUUAGGGGAUCGAAGACGAUCAGAAUCCGUGUAGUCUUAACCAUAAACUAUAGCCGACUAGGGAUCGGAUGAUGUUAAUUUU